AUUGAACGCUGGCGGCAUGCCUUACACAUGCAAGUCGAACGGCAGCACGGGGCAACCUGGUGGCGAGUGGCGAACGGGUGAGUAAUGCAUCGGAACGUACCUUUCAGUGGGGGAUAACGUAGCGAAAGUUACGCUAAUACCGCAUAUUCUGUGAGCAGGAAAGCAGGGGAUCGCAAGACCUUGCGCUGAUUGAGCGGCCGAUGUCAGAUUAGCUAGUUGGUGAGGUAACGGCUCACCAAGGCGACGAUCUGUAGCGGGUCUUAGAGGAUGAUCCGCCACACUGGAACUGAGACACGGUCCAGACUCCUACGGGAGGCAGCAGUGGGGAAUUUUGGACAAUGGGGGCAACCCUGAUCCAGCCAUGCCGCGUGAGUGAAGAAGGCCUUCGGGUUGUAUAGCUCUGUCGGCCGGGAAGAAAUCGCACGGGCUAAUACCCUGUGUGGAUGACGGUACCGGAAUAAGAAGCACCGGCUAACUACGUGCCAGCCGCCGCAGUAAUAC
rnacentral:rRNA from 1 species